AUACGGAGGGGGCUAGCGUUGUUCGGAAUUACUGGGCGUAAAGCGCGCGUAGGCGGACCUGCAAGUCGGGGGUGAAAGCCCGAGGCUCAACCUCGGAACUGCCUUCGAUACUGCGGGUCUUGAGUCCGGGAGAGGUGAGUGGAAUUCCUAGUGUAGAGGUGAAAUUCGUAGAUAUUAGGAAGAACACCAGUGGCGAAGGCGGCUCACUGGCCCGAUACUGACGCUGAGGCGCGAAAGCGUGGGGAGCAAACAGGAUUAGAAACCCCAGUAGUCC
rnacentral:rRNA from 1 species